rnacentral:rRNA from 1 species
UACGUAGGGGGCAAGCGUUGUCCGGAUUUAUUGGGCGUAAAGAGCGUGUAGGCGGCCAGGUAGGUCUGCUGUGAAAACCCGGGGCUCAACUCCGGGCCUGCAGCCGAUACGGGCAGACUAGAGUUCGGCAGGGGAGACUGGAAUUCCUGGUGUAGCGGUGAAAUGCGCAGAUAUCAGGAGGAACACCGGUGGCGAAGGCGGGUCUCUGGGCCGAUACUGACGCUGAGGAGCGAAAGCGUGGGGAGCGAACAGG